AGUGAACGCUGGCGGUAGGCCUAACACAUGCAAGUCGAACGGCAGCACAGUAAGAGCUUGCUCUUACGGGUGGCGAGUGGCGGACGGGUGAUGAAUACAUCGGAAUCUACUUUUUCGUGGGGGCUAACGUAGGGAAACUUACGCUAAUACCGCAUACGACCUACGGGUGAAAGCAGCGGAUCUUAGGACCUUGCGCGAUUGAAUGAGCCGAUGUCGGAUUAGCUAGUUGGCGGGGUAAAGGCCCACCAAGGCGACGAUCCGUAGCUGGUCUGAGAGGAUGAUCAGCCACACUGGAACUGAGACACGGUCCAGACUCCUACGGGAGGCAGCAGUGGGGAAUAUUGGACAAUGGGCGAAAGCCUGAUCCAGCCAUGCCGCGUGGGUGAAGAAGGUCUUCGGGUUGUAAAGCCCUUUUGUUGGGGAAGAAAAGCAGCAGGUUAAUACCCCGCUGUCCUGACGGUACCCAAAGAAUAAGCACCGGCUAACUUCGUG
rnacentral:rRNA from 1 species